AGCCCCGUCGUCUAGCGGUCAAGGAUGCUGGGCUUUGGACCCAGUGACGGCGGUUCGAAUCCGCCCGGGGCUA
rnacentral:tRNA from 1 species